AUUGAACGCUGGCGGCCGGCUUAACACAUGCAAGUCGAGCGAGCGGCGGACGGGUGAGUAAUGUCUGGGAAACUGCCUGAUGGAGGGGGAUAACUACUGGAAACGGUAGCUAAUACCGCAUACCAUCAGAUGUGCCCAGAUGGGAUUAGCUAGUAGGUGGGGUAAUGGCUCACCUAGGCGACGAUCUCUAGCUGGUCUGAUAGGAUGAUCAGCCACACGGGUACUGAGACACGGCCCAGACUCCGACGGGAGGCAGCAGUGGGGAAUAGUGCACAAUGGGCGCAAGCCUGAUGCAGCCAUGCCGCGUGUAUGAAGAAGGCCUUAGGGUUGUAAAGUACUUUCAGCGGGGAGGCGUUACCCGCAGAAGAAGCACCGGCUAACUCCGUGCCAGCAGCCGCGGUAAUAC
rnacentral:rRNA from 1 species